AAUCAACGCUGGCGGCGUGCCUAACACAUGCAAGUCGAACGAGAAAGUGGAGCAAUCCAUGAGUAAAGUGGCGCACGGGUGAGUAACACGUGACUAACCUACCCUUGAGUGGGGGAUAACCUAGGGAAACCUGGGCUAAUACCGCAUAAUACCUACGGGUCAAAGGAGCAAUUCGCUUUAGGAGGGGGUCGCGGCAGAUUAGUUAGUUGGCGGGGUAAUGGCCCACCAAGACGAUGANCUGUAUCCGGCCUGAGAGGGCGCACGGACACACUGGAACUGAAACACGGUCCAGACUCCUACGGGAGGCAGCAGUGGGGAAUUUUGCGCAAUGGGGGAAACCCUGACGCAGCAACGCCGCGUGGAGGAUGAAGACCCUUGGGUCGUAAACUCCUUUCGAUCGGGACGAUAAUGACGGUACCGGAAGAAGAAGCCCCGGCUAACCUCGUGCCAGCCGCCGCGGUAAC
rnacentral:rRNA from 1 species